CACGUAGGGCGCAAGCGUUGUCCGGAAUUAUUGGGCGUAAAGAGCUCGUAGGCGGUCUGUUGCGUCCGCUGUGAAAACUCGGGGCUUAACCCCGAGCCUGCAGUGGAUACGGGCAGACUAGAGGGUAGGUAGGGGAGAAUGGGAAUUCCCGGUGUAGCGGUGAAAUGCGCAGAUAUCGGGAGGAACACCGGUGGCGAAGGCGGUUCUCUGGGCCUUACCUGACGCUGAGGAGCGAAACGUGGGGGAG
rnacentral:rRNA from 1 species